UUCUUCUCCCUUUUAGGGUAAUGAUAAGAUUAAUCGAAUGGUAAAUCGUUUGUUUCGAGAUCCAAACUCCGAUUUCUUACUCAAUUUAUCCAUUAACCAAGAGGAAAUCGAUGGAGGAUUAAGUUUUAACUCCCCUCAAGUGGGGUUUAGGGUAAGAUUAUUAUUGAAGAUAGCAAGAGAUGUGCCAGCACUAGCGGUCACACAUCCAUCUCUCCGAGAGUUAAUCGAGUUUAUGGCCAAAAUGGACAAGGGAUUUGUUGUGGGUGAAAUCACCAUCACUCCCUGAACCUUCAAUCUAACAAUGUAAAGUUGGGUAAGAGACCAGGAUUAGAGACCCUGUUAUCCCAAUUUACCACCAUAAAGUGGAUUAAGAAGAUAAAAACAAGGGACAUGGCGGCCUUUCAACCUAAUUAGAGGAACAUGUCUUGGAAAUGAAUUUACACACUAUAUCUACCCUCUCUUAGACCAAACAUCUUGCAUACUGCUGUCUGAAAGACUCUUCUUAACUAGAGUCUCCAUUCAACCAUUGAUAUAAGACAAGUAAAUGUGCAGACAAUAGGGAGGAUAAGAUGUGUUCCACUUCAACUAAUGGACUAAAAAGGAAUUGUUUGUGAUAAAGAGAAUCUAAAAGUAAAUCAAGUUUACUACACUUGGUUGAAUAAGCUAUGAAAGGUGUACAAAUUGCCCGUCACUCCGUAAGAGGAGAAGUCGUAACACAGUUGGCCUACCGGAAGGUGGGUCAGGAGAUUGUCUCUGGUGUGAUCCAGAGAUUUUACAGUUUAUACCACUCUAU
rnacentral:rRNA from 1 species